CCUAGCUGCCCCGAUUGAGGCUAUUUCUACAGACUUAUGGGGGCAGCUGAUUGCCCUAAUCACAGAUUAGGUUCAGUGACCAGGUAAGAACAGAGCUUUAAAAAAUAAAAACAAAGUCAAAGCCAGUUUAUUGACCCCAUGUAGGGAAUAGAAGACGGUCAGGAGGGCAGAAAUAUCAAUUGUCCAUCCCCAAGUGACCUUAGUCUCAUGAUUUUCUCAGACCUGCUUGUUGGUUUCCUUCUGUUGUGAGAAAUCAGUGACUGGGCUCUCCAGUGAGGCGAGGAGUGGAGAUGAGAUCUCAGCAGGCGAGUGAACCACAGAAGGCUAGACCUGGGGUUCACUCCUAGGUCUCCUAACCAGUUCCCGAGUGACUUUGGACAGGUCACCUUUCCUCCUCGGCUUCCUCAUCGGGUCAAAACGACAGGGCUGGGCUUCAUGGUCUGCAAGGACCUUCCAAAUCUAAAUUCUAUGGCAUUGAUGCCAUAGGACAUGGGGGAAAUAAUAAUAAUAGGAGGGGAUACAAAGAAUGGGAAAAAUUGGCCUGGGAGUGUGCUGGGGAUGGUUUUCCUUCCGCCAACAUGUGGCUGGCUGUAGCGUAAAGUCUUGGGCAUUCAUAAUUAGCUUCAUGCUUCCCUCCUUUGCAGGGAUAAAGCUUGGAGUGUGUGUGUGUGUGUGUGUGUGUGUGUGUGUGUGUGUGUCUGUCUGUCUCUCUCCCUCUUUUUUUUUUCUUUUAAUACUGCAGGUCUCCCCAGCCUUCAGCAGCCCCAUAAUUUUCCUUCUUUCGUUCUGGGGCCUGGUUUCGCAUGCACCAAGGUACAACUGUGAAGCGUUAAUCUCCAUCCAGGCCUGACAAGCAUGUGUUUUUCUUUAGUGAGGCGCUAUCUGGAACAGCUCCUUCCUAGAAAGAGUUGUGGUGGUACCUGGCCGGCCCCCGCCCUGUGAGACGUUGUCAUCUACAGUUUACAAAACAGUUACCUGAGCCCAUUUCACAGGUGAGGAAACUGAGGUCUGGAGAAAAGAGUGCGCUGCCCUCCCUUCUUCUGCCAUCUUUCAACUACCAAGCAUCAGGAUUGGCAUUGGAACACAAGGCAUCAUGGGUCUACGGUGUGUUGCACCCACUGAGUCUCUAAUGCCCAAGAUCUAAUUUCUCAUAUAGCCAGUCAGACCGCAUCUCGAGGUUGGUUCUGGCCACCGCGUGUUUGGAAGGAUGAUGCUAAGUCUGCAGAGGGAGGGCCUCAAGUCUAUGUCUCCGUCCAGCUGAGCUGAAGUAAGCACCAGGCCCAGGGACCUCGGCUGAACCACCUGUCCAGCAAAGAUAUCGUGUCCAGGGGCAGUGAAUGGAGGAUAUGAAAAGAAGAGAAAGACAUUGGGAUCCUGUUGUGCUGAAAGUGUGUGUGUUGCCUUGUCCAAAUGUGUUCCUUGUGGGGCAGCUAGGUGCUGCAGUGGAUAGAGCACUGGCCUUGAAGUCAGGAGGACUUGAGUUCAAAUCCAGCC